GGUUUAACUAGCAUUGUGGGACCCCAUUUUCAGAAGAGAGAGGUGGAGAUGCACUGGAACUGGCAGAACAACUUGACAAAUUUGUACUGGAACUGAGGGGAGAGAUCAGGGAAAUCCCAUCCUCCCUGAGAACUGGCCAUCGUGUUUGGAGCUGAUGGGAUUUGGAGUCCAACAAUAACUGGGGGUGCGGUGGGCACAGGUUCCCCCUCCCUCUGGCAGAUGGCUGUUUAAUUGGGAGUAAGCCUCACUGAAAUCAGUGGUCUUUGUAGGAGUAACGGAGCUCUCGGGUGAACUCAUGGAGGCUGGGAGGCAUGAACCACCUGUUGAGUCUCCCUUGAAGUCCAGGAUUGGGGCUCGAGGAAUAGCCAGCAGCACUUCCUUGCUUUCAACAACUUCUCCCAGAGAUAUAAACAGGUCUUCCCUAGACCAAAAACUAUGCCUGGGUUUAGUUCAUACUAGGUUCACAUGUAUCCUAGAAUGUCUGCUAAGAGGCUGUCUUCUAAGGGUGCAAAAAAUUGGGGCACUUAUCACUGAAGGAAGGACCAAUCCCGUUUGUGACAUGUGCUGAGGGUGAAGAACACCAAUCUUCUUCUGUGGAAGCUAUGCAUUUGUAUUUAUUUUCAUUCACGUUGCUUUUCAGAUGUACAAACCAUAAAUACUUUUUAAAAAGGCAUAUUAGAUAUAUGCUUUUUUAAUGAAUUCUCAAAAGAUGCAUAGCUGUGUUUGUCCAGUGUUCUGAUCCACAGGCUUUUGCUAGCCUAAUUCUGGAAAAUACUGAACUGGAAACUGGCAGCUGCUAUGUAGCUGUGCAAAGUGGUUCUCAGAUGCUGUGCAACAACUCCUCUAAAAGCCAGAUCCCAGUCAUCUACACCCCAGUUUGGCUUGCAGGGCUUUACUUGCCAUUUUCUUGCUGUGCUAACUGAACAACUGGCUCAAAAUGUUCCUUUAGGACAGAUUGCAUAUUUUUUCCCAUAAUUUAAAAUUUAGAAAAUGCAAGAGCAGAGAGGAAAAAUGACAAUCCAUUAUUUUUAUCAGAAGGAACACUAAUAUGAUGAUACUCACUCAUACGUCCAACACAAUUUCAUUAACUCAUAGAUCUCAGGUGGGCAGGAUGCUGGACAUUCCAUUCGCUCUCCUCUUUCAAUCAUCUGAGCAACUUCCCCACCUUUCAUACCCUGUGACAGAGUGAGAAAGGAUUUAUCUUUUGUCAAACUGAAUUACUUAGAGAAAAGUGAGGCUCUGCAGCAACAAUGAGUGUGCAGUGCGUCUCUUCUUGGUUCCAGCAUCUCUAUUCCGGUCUCCACUCCCACCCUCCCACUGCCCAGUUCUCUUUCCCAUUCCUACAAUAGUCGGUCAGCAUUCUGUACCCGCUGAACAUGCUGGAUCUGCAUUUUGGGUUUUGAGUGAGGUAGACAUACUUGUGCUGAAUCCCACCUAUAUUAAAUUCUCUAAGUUCUCCACUGAAGUCUACGGGCAGCUCUCUCUUCCGUCCCUGGGGACGUUUAAAAACAGAUGGUUAGUGGACUGAGAAGAAGCAACCUAUCCAUACAACGAGAUGGCUCUACAUUUUAGAUAUAUCUAUAUGUCUCUGUCCUUCUAUUCCACCCACUCCAUUCACUCUACCACCCAGUUAUCCCUUUAUUUCUCCUCUCAGUCUUUCACCGUUCCAUGUCACUGAGUUGUGAUGCAGCUGUUUUGGGAGUCCUAGUUUGUUUCUGUAGAUUUUUCAUAGUUGACCAUGCAUUGGAGUGACCUUGAGUCUGCUAGCAAUAUUUUAUGUGCCCGUGGUAUAGUUUGGAAUACAUAAGCACUCAUAAAGACUUGAAUCUUUAUUAAAAAUGGAUGUUUAACAAUAGGACACAAUAUAUAUAUACCUUGUACGGCUUUUGUCCAUAGGAAAAAGCCUCCCACAUUAAUACACCAAAACUCCAAACAUCACUCUUGCUUGAAAAUUUGAAGAAGUUCAUGCAUUCUGGAGCGUACCACUUGACUGGCCAUUUCCCAUAAUGUUCUGCCUGAAACAAUUCCACACAUAAAAGAAGAGAACAUUUAGCCAUAUAUAACAACAACAGCAAUAGGAGGAAACAAUUUUACUUGGUGUAACUCUUUUUUUAAAAAAAGGUUUUAAAUGUCCACCCUCUUCUGACAGCUUAGGGGGAUGGUCCAUGCAUCUACAGUGAGGAUGGGGGAAGGUUAGCAACUGGUGGGUCCAAUUUUUCCAGUACAGCAUCAUGCUGUGAGCAAGCAUGCUUAUGUGCAACCUGCUAGAAUCUAUUGAGCAGAACAGGGAUAGCAUAGCUGUACCUGCAGAUCUUAGUCUCAUUUUGCUAAGUACCCAGCACUGAUGGCUUACUUUUUAUUAGAGUGCAGAAAAGUCGCCUUGCACUGGCAUUUGUGUUGCUCUGAUCAUGUUUUGUAUUGUUGGGUGGCUUGCAAAUUUUAAACUACAGUGACAGUGUUUGCACAUUGUAGAAGGCCACAGUGACAUCAUGACAAGAAAUCUCAGUCAAGACAAGUUACAGGGUGAAAUAUUACCUUAUAAUAAUCAUUAGAGCCGAGAGCUUUUGAAAGUCCAAAGUCACUGAUUUUGGCAUAAUGUUGUGUAACCAGUAGUACAUUUCUUGCCGCUAAAUCUCUGUGCACAAAGUUGUUUUCUUCCAAAUAUUUCAUCCCCAUGGAAACUUGAUG